GGGGGUACCGGUACAGAGUCAAUGUGGAGGCUAUAUACAGGGUGUUACGGUACAGAGUCAAUGUGGAGGCUAUAUACAGGGUGUUACGGUACCUAGUCAAUGUGGAGGCUAUAUACAGGGGGUACAGGUACCGAGUCAAAGUGGAGGCUAUAUACAGGGUGUUACGGUACCAAGUCAAUGUGGAGGCUAUAUACAGGGUGUUACGGUACCUAGUCAAUGUGGAGGCUAUAUACAGGGGGUACAGGUACCGAGUCAAUGUGGAGGCUAUAUACAGGGUGUUACGGUACCUAGUCAAUGUGGAGGCUAUAUACAGGGGGUACAGGUACCGAGUCAAAGUGGAGGCUAUACACAGGGUGUUACGGUACCAAGUCAAUGUGGAGGCUAUAUACAGGGUGUUACGGUACAGAGUCAAUGUGGAGGCUAUAUACAGGGGGUACCGGUACAGAGUCAAUGUGGAGGCUAUAUACAGGGGGUACAGGUACCGAGUCAAUGUAGAGGCUAUAUACAGGGGGUACAGGUACCGAGUCAAUGUAGAGGCUAUAUACAGGGGG
ensembl:lncRNA